rnacentral:snoRNA from 1 species
AACCUCAUUCUAUAUGAGAAUGGACACAGUUGAACAUGCCCUUUUGGAAUUGCUAAGGUGGCUAAAUUGAGACACAGUUUAUGCUUCCAUCACAAUAAAUUUACUAAAGUGGUGACAAUGAGAUCUGGAACAUUU